GCAGCGCUAGCUAGAACGGCCUGAUUCUUCCGAGAUUCAGUUAGCUGGUGGUUGCGAUGUUGUGUUUGCAACUCGAUUUUCGAGUUAGGUAGAUUUCUACCACGGUUUUAUUUCUGUCAUCCUCAGAGAUAAAACACAUACUUCCUGUAUUUAUUUUUGACCAGUCUGUCAAAUUUUUGUACACCGCCUUUUUAGGCGGUGUUUUUUUAU
rnacentral:other from 1 species